AUUGAACGCUGGCGGCAGGCCUAACACAUGCAAGUCGAGCGGAUGAGUGGAGCUUGCUCCAUGAUUCAGCGGCGGACGGGUGAGUAAUGCCUAGGAAUCUGCCUGGUAGUGGGGGACAACGUUUCGAAAGGAACGCUAAUACCGCAUACGUCCUACGGGAGAAAGUGGGGGAUCUUCGGACCUCACGCUAUCAGAUGAGCCUAGGUCGGAUUAGCUAGUUGGUGAGGUAAAGGCUCACCAAGGCGACGAUCCGUAACUGGUCUGAGAGGAUGAUCAGUCACACUGGAACUGAGACACGGUCCAGACUCCUACGGGAGGCAGCAGUGGGGAAUAUUGGACAAUGGGCGAAAGCCUGAUCCAGCCAUGCCGCGUGUGUGAAGAAGGUCUUCGGAUUGUAAAGCACUUUAAGUUGGGAGGAAGGGCAGUAAGUUAAUACCUUGCUGUUUUGACGUUACCAACAGAAUAAGCACCGGCUAACUUCGUGCCAGCCGCCGCCGUAAUAC
rnacentral:rRNA from 1 species